rnacentral:rRNA from 1 species
GAUGAACGCUAGCGACAGGCCUAACACAUGCAAGUCGAGGGGCAGCACAUGAGUAGCAAUACGAUGGUGGCGACCGGCGCACGGGUGAGUAACACGUAUGCAACCUGCCUGUAAGAGGGGAAUAACCCGGAGAAAUUCGGACUAAUACCGCAUAAUACCACGAGACUGCAUGGUUUUGUGGUUAAACAUUUAUGGCUUACAGAUGGGCAUGCGUAUGAUUAGAUAGUUGGUAGGGUAACGGCCUACCAAGUCUACGAUCAUUAGGGGUUCUGAGAGGAAGGUCCCCCACACUGGUACUGAGACACGGACCAGACUCCUACGGGAGGCAGCAGUGAGGAAUAUUGGUCAAUGGGCGAGAGCCUGAACCAGCCAAGUCGCGUGAAGGAAGACGGUUCUAUGGAUUGUAAACUUCUUUUGUAAGGGAAUAAAGUUCACUACGUGUAGUGUUUUGUAUGUACUUUACGAAUAAGGAUCGGCUAACUCCGUG